GGAAGGAUCAUUAACACGUAUCCAACGUUAAACCCCCCUGUGAACUUUUAUCGUGCUCUUGCAACCCGGAAACAAACAGCAAUCCUGGUAAAUCAGUCGCGAACGUUAUUGAUUCAGGACCUCUGUCUUCUGAGAAGUUACAGUUGCAAUUGAGCGCUCGAGGCAAGUGGCUUGGUUUCCCCAAGCAACAGGCGUCUGAAAGUGUCGCUGGUUGUUAAAGGAUAACGCUUUACGAACGCUGUAGGCCGAACACCGGCCGGCGUCUAGGUCACCGGGCUCACGCCCCUUAAUAACCCCACAGUUACCUGUACCGCAACCACGACCAACGCAAGUGCACCGGCGUGGUUGAAAACGAACAACUGUUAACAAUGGAUAUCUUGGUUCUCGCAACGAUGAAGAACGCAGCGAAAUGCGAUACGUAAUGCGAAUUGCAGAAUUCAGUGAAUCAUCGAAUCUUUGAACGCAAAUUGCGCUCUCGGGUUACCCCCAAGAGCACACCUCUCUGAGUGUCGGUUUAACCAAAUGUCACCAAUUUAUUGGUGUACGACAGUCUGAGGGUAAGGGGUUUCGGCCUUUUUCCCUUUAAAUCUCAGCCGCACGACUGUGUGUGUUCGUGGCAAGUUGCUUUCACUUAAUUGUGAAUCCAAUCCACAAACCCUAUGUUGUGUAGCCAAAAGAAACAAAUGAACAAAGGUGUGUAUCCAAGGAGCUUGCUUCGAGGGUUCGCGGCUUUGUGCAUCUAUGAAUUAGACCUCAGAUGAAGUGGGAAGACCCCCUGAAUUUAAGCAUAUUAUUAAGGGGAGGAAAAGAAACUAACAAGGAUUCCCCUAGUAACGGCGAGUGAAGCGGGAAGAGCUCAAAUUUAAAAUCCGCUGGUCUAACAGCCUGUGGAGUUGUAAUCUAGAGAGGCUCUCUCAGUGCCAGCCUGGUUAUAAGUCCCUUGAAACGGGGCAUCAAAGAGGGUGAGAAUCCCGUAUUUGAGCCGGAGCUAAGUACGUACGAGGAGUUUUCUAAGAGUCGCGUUGCUUGGGAGUGCAGCGCUAAAUGGGUGGUAAAGUUCAUCUAAAGCUAAAUACUGGCGAGAGACCGAUAGCGAACAAGUACCGUGAGGGAAAGAUGAAAAGAACUUUGAAAAGAGAGUUAAAAAGUACUUGAAAUUGUUAACAGGGAAGGGGAGUCAACCAGUCAUUUCUAAGCUUCAUUCGCUUUUCCUUCGGGAGGAGUUACUUGAGGCUAAGAAGAGUCAGCAUCAUCUAGGGGCUUCGCAGAAACUGUGUGAGUUGGUGCGUUUCUUCGGAUUCGUUUAACUUAUGCAAUCUACGUUGUCGCUGGGUGAGGAGUGAAAACCCCCCGCUUUCGGGCGUCGGUACUCCGAGGUCUGUUUGCCCUAGCGCGUGAGAGAACAAAGUUCUGUCUGUGCGAAAGGUGAAUACUGCUUUGGAUGUGCCAGAUGGUGGGUUCGCGAUGCAGACGAAAUGGUUGUCUUCCGCCCGUCUUGAAACACGGACCAAGGAGUCUAACAUAUAUGCGAGUAUUUGGGUGACAAACCCUGAUGCGUAAUGAAAGUAAAGAGCCGCAAGGCUUGAGGUAGGAAUCUCGCCCUUGGGUGGGAGGCACUAUCGACCGAUCGUUCGCUUGCGGAAGAUUUGAGUAAUAGCAUAUCUGUUGGGACCCGAAAGAUGGUGAUCUAUGCCUGAACAGGGUGAAGCCAGGGGAAACUCUGGUGGAAGCUCGUAGCGAUACUGACGUGCAAAUCGUUCGUCUGAUUUGGGUAUAGGGGCGAAAGACUAAUCGAACCAUCUAGUAGCUGGUUCCCUC
rnacentral:misc_RNA from 1 species